rnacentral:rRNA from 1 species
CUAUGGCUCAGGAUGAACGCUGGCGGCGUGCCUAACACAUGCAAGUCGAGCGGAAAUACCAGAAAGUAUUCGUACCGGAAGGUAUUUAGCGGCGGACGGGUGAGUAACACGUGAGCAACCUGCCUUCAGCUGGGGAAUAACAUUGGGAAACCAGUGCUAAUACCGCAUAACGUCCAUGGGGGACAUCCCAUGUGGACCAAAGGAGAAAUCCGGCAGAAGAUGGGCUCGCGUCCGAUUAGUUAGUUGGCGGGUAACGGCCCACCAAGACCGCGAUCGGUAGCCGAACUGAGAGGUUGAUCGGCCACAUUGGGACUGAGACACGGCCCAGACUCCUACGGGAGGCAGCAGUGGGGAAUAUUGGGCAAUGGGGGAAAAACCCCUGACCCAGCAACGCCGCGUGAAGGACGAAGGCCUUCGGGUUGUAAACUUCUUUGAUCAGGGACGAAACAAAUGACGGUACCUGAAGAACAAGCCACGGCUAACUACGUGCCAGCAGCUGC